UACGUAGGGGGCGAGCGUUGUCCGGAUUUAUUGGGCGUAAAGAGCUCGUAGGCGGCUUGGCAAGUCGGGUGUGAAACCUCCAGGCUCAACCUGGAGACGCCACUCGAUACUGCUAUGGCUAGAGUCCGGUAGGGGACCACGGAAUUCCUGGUGUAGCGGUGAAAUGCGCAGAUAUCAGGAGGAACACCGGUGGCGAAGGCGGCAUCCUGGACCAACACUGACGCUGAGGAGCGAAAGCCAGGGGAGCAAACGGG
rnacentral:rRNA from 1 species